rnacentral:rRNA from 1 species
GACGAACGCUGGCGGCGUGCCUAAUACAUGCAAGUUGAGCGCUGAAGGUUGGUACUUGUACCAACUGGAUGAGCAGCGAACGGGUGAGUAACGCGUGGGGAAUCUGCCUUUGAGCGGGGGACAACAUUUGGAAACGAAUGCUAAUACCGCAUAAAAACUUUAAACACAAGUUUUAAGUUUGAAAGAUGCAAUUGCAUCACUCAAAGAUGAUCCCGCGUUGUAUUAGCUAGUUGGUGAGGUAAAGGCUCACCAAGGCGAUGAUACAUAGCCGACCUGAGUGGGUGAUCGGCCAACAUGGGACUGAGACACGGCCCAAACUCCUACGGGAGGCAGCAGUAGGGAAUCUUCGGCAAUGGACGAAAGUCUGACCGCGCAACGCCGCGUGAGUGAAGAAGGUUUUCGGAUCGUAAAACUCUGUUGGUAGAGAAGAACGUUGGUGAGAGUGGAAAGCUCAUCAAGUGACGGUAACUACCCAGAAAGGGACGGCUAACUACGUG